CGGGCGUAGCAAUACGUCAGUGGCAGACGGGUGAGUAACGCGUGGGAACGUACCUUUUGGUUCGGAACAACUGAGGGAAACUUCAGCUAAUACCGGAUAAGCCCUUACGGGGAAAGAUUUAUCGCCGAAAGAUCGGCCCGCGUCUGAUUAGCUAGUUGGUGAGGUAAUGGCUCACCAAGGCGACGAUCAGUAGCUGGUCUGAGAGGAUGAUCAGCCACAUUGGGACUGAGACACGGCCCAAACUCCUACGGGAGGCAGCAGUGGGGAAUAUUGGACAAUGGGGGCAACCCUGAUCCAGCCAUGCCGCGUG
rnacentral:rRNA from 1 species